rnacentral:rRNA from 1 species
GACGAACGCUGGCGGCGUGCUUAACACAUGCAAGUCGAACGGAAAGGCCCUGCUUGCAGGGUACUCGAGUGGCGAACGGGUGAGUAACACGUGGGUGAUCUGCCCUGCACUUCGGGAUAAGCCUGGGAAACUGGGUCUAAUACCGGAUAGGAGCCAUUUUUAGUGUGAUGGUUGGAAAGUUUUUUCGGUGUAGGGUGAGCUCGCGGCCUAUCAGCUUGUUGGUGGGGUAAUGGCCUACCAAGGCGGCGACGGGUAGCCGGCCUGAGAGGGUGGACGGCCACAUUGGGACUGAGAUACGGCCCAGACUCCUACGGGAGGCAGCAGUGGGGAAUAUUGCACAAGGGGCGCAAGCCUGAUGCAGCGACGCCGCGUGGGGGAUGACGGCCUUCGGGUUGUAAACUCCUUUCGCUAGGGACGAAGCUUUUUGUGACGGUACCUAGAUAAGAAGCACCGGCUAACUACGUG